AGGGUUCGAUUCUGGCUCAGGAUGAACGCUAGCGACAGGCUUAACACAUGCAAGUCGAGGGGCAGCACGGGAGUAGCAAUACAACUGGUGGCGACCGGCGCACGGGUGAGUAACGCGUAUGCAACCUACCUAUCAGAGGGGAACUAACCCGGCGAAAGGUCGGACUAAUACCGCAUAAAACAGGGGCACCGCAUGGUGAUAUUUGUUAAAGGAAAUUCGCUGAUAGAUGGGCAUGCGUUCCAUUAGGUAGUUGGUGAGGUAACGGCUCACCAAGCCGACGAUGGAUAGGGGAACUGAGAGGUUGGUCCCCCACACUGGUACUGAGACACGGACCAGACUCCUACGGGAGGCAGCAGUGAGGAAUAUUGGUCAAUGGGCGAGGAGCCUGAACCAGCCAAGUCGCGUAGAAGGAAGAAGGAUCUAUGGUUCGUAAACUUCUUUGCGAGGGGAAUAAAGUGCGGGACGUGUCCUGUUUUGUAUGUACCCUGAGAAUAAGGAUCGGCUAACUCCGUGCCAGCCGCUGC
rnacentral:rRNA from 1 species